UAGUCCACGCUGUAAACGAUGAGUGCUAGGUGUCGGCGUAAGUCGGCGCCGGAGUAAACGCAAUAAGCACUCCGCCUGGGGAGUACGUGCACAAGCAUGAAACUCAAAGGAAUUGACGGGGACCCGCACAAGCAGCGGAGCAUGUGGUUUAAUUCGAAGCAACGCGAAGAACCUUACCAGGACUUGACAUAUAGGUAAAAAACUUAGAGAUAAGUAAUACCCAUAUGGGAGACCUAUAC
rnacentral:rRNA from 1 species